AUAUCUAUAUGGCAGGAAAGAUACUAUGAUCACAAAAUUGGUUUUCCCAGGGCAAUGGUUAUCCACUACACCCCAGAUAUGAUCACUCUGUAAUUUUCCCAAAUGUGGGAAAGCUGACAGCAUGAUUUGUAGUAGGGGGAGAUUGUGAUCACACUGUACCCUA